rnacentral:rRNA from 1 species
AUUGAACGCUGGCGGCAGGCCUAACACAUGCAAGUCGAGCGGCGCGUGGGACGGGUGAGUAAUACCGAGGAAGCUGCCCGGUAGUGAGGGACAAAGUUAGGAAACGGACGCCAAGACCGCAUACUAGCAGGGCACCUUCGGUUGGAUUAGCUAGUUGGUGAGGUAAUGGCUCACCAAGUCUACGAUCCGUAGCUGGUCUGAGAGGAUGAUCAGUCACACUGGAACUGAGACACGGCCCAGACUCCUACGGGAGGCAGCAGUGGGGAAUCUUGGACAAUGGGCGAAAGCCUGAUCCAGCCAUGCCGCGUGUGUGAAGAAGGUCUUCGGAUUGUAAAGCACUUUAAGUUGGGAGGCGGUACCGACCGAAUAAGCACCGGCUAACUCUGUGCCAGCCGCCGCGGUAAUUC